rnacentral:rRNA from 1 species
CCCGGCGACCGGCGCACGGGUGAGUAACACGUAUGAAACCUGCCCGUAGCAGGGGAUAAGCGGAAGAAAUUCCGUCUAAUACCGCGUAACAACCCAUGGAGGCAUCUCUGUGGGUUUAAAGGAAGCGAUUCCGGCUACGGAUGGUCAUGCGUCGCAUUAGCUUGUUGGCGGGGUAACGGCCCACCAAGGCGACGAUGCGUAGGGGUUCUGAGAGGAAGGUCCCCCACACUGGUACUGAGACACGGACCAGACUCCUACGGGAGGCAGCAG